AGCAGUCGCCGCGGUAAUACGUAGGGUGCGAGCGUUAAUCGGAAUUACUGGGCGUAAAGCGUGCGCAGGCGGUUCGGAAAGAAAGAUGUGAAAUCCCAGGGCUUAACCUUGGAACUGCAUUUUUAACUACCGGACUAGAGUGUGUCAGAGGGAGGUGGAAUUCCGCGUGUAGCAGUGAAAUGCGUAGAGAUGCGGAGGAACACCGAUGGCGAAGGCAGCCUCCUGGGAUAACACUGACGCUCAUGCACGAAAGCGUGGGGAGCAAACAGGAUUAGAGACCCGCGUAGUCCCUGUCUCUUAUAC
rnacentral:rRNA from 1 species